UUUGCGGCCCCGGGUUCUUUCCGGGGCUACACCUGUCUGAGGGUCGCUUG
rnacentral:rRNA from 1 species